rnacentral:lncRNA from 1 species
CGAAAGUAUGAGGGUAAGUGCAGCUUCCAGAUGGCUUUGUUGUCUUUGGUUUUACCAAUUCUUUGUUUUACGCUUACGACUGGUUUUUUUUUAGCGUGCAGAUUUUCAACGAGCUAUGAAGUCAAUGAGCUCAGAAGAGCUCUUUAACCUGGAGACCAACCUCGUAAAGAAGGUACGAUUGUGAGAUAAUUUGGUAGUUUGUCUUGCAAGUAUUGUAUUUUACUUCGUUAUUUUUGGUAACUUGGUUUUUAAAAUCUAUAGGUCUCUUACUCUUCGAUGAUUACAAGGGAUCGGCUUGCGAAGAGCGAGAAAGCAGCCUCGGAGCUUUCGAAGAAGGUAGCUUCGCUAGAAGCGACUAUUGCUGCAAUAUCCUUGGAGAUGAAGAGGGUCAAGGCUGAGAAUUCUGAGCUGAAGGAGGACUCUC